rnacentral:rRNA from 1 species
AGCGAACGCUGGCGGCAUGCCUAACACAUGCAAGUCGAACGAAGCCUUCGGGCUUAGUGGCGCACGGGUGCGUAACGCGUGGGAAUCUGCCCUUUGGUUCGGAAUAACAGUUGGAAACGACUGCUAAUACCGGAUGAUGACGAAAGUCCAAAGAUUUAUCGCCAGAGGAUGAGCCCGCGUAGGAUUAGCUAGUUGGUGUGGUAAAGGCGCACCAAGGCGACGAUCCUUAGCUGGUCUGAGAGGAUGAUCAGCCACACUGGGACUGAGACACGGCCCAGACUCCUACGGGAGGCAGCAGUGGGGAAUAUUGGACAAUGGGCGAAAGCCUGAUCCAGCAAUGCCGCGUGAGUGAUGAAGGCCCUAGGGUUGUAAAGCUCUUUUACCCGGGAUGAUAACGACAGUACCGGGAGAAUAAGCCCCGGCUAACUCCGUGCCAGCCGCCGCUGUAA